AGCUAUCCUAGCUCUUUUAGAAUUUUUAUAAUAGGUUUUCCGACUUUGGUUGGAAAACCCAA
ensembl:snRNA LOC120100213 U7 small nuclear RNA